rnacentral:tRNA from 1 species
UGGGGUGUGGCUCAGUUGGUAGAGCACUUGACUAGCAUGCACAAGGCCCUGGGUUCAACCCCCAGCAUGACAU